rnacentral:rRNA from 1 species
CCUACGGGAGGCAGCAGUGGGGAAUAUUGGGCAAUGGAGGAAACUCUGACCCAGCGACGCCGCGUGCGGGAUGAAGGCCUUCGGGUUGUAAACCGCUUUCAGUAGGGAAGAAGCGAAAGUGACGGUACCUACAAAAGAAGCACCGGCUAACUAUGUGCCAGCAGCCGCGGUAAUACAUAGGGUGCAAGCGUUGUCCGGAAUUAUUGGGCGUAAAGAGCUCGUAGGUCGUUUGUUACGUCGGAUGUGAAAACCUGAGGCUCAACCUCAGGCCUGCAUUCGAUACGGGCAAACUAGAGUUUGGUAGGGGAGACUGGAAUUCCUGGUGUAGCGGUGGAAUGCGCAGAUAUCAGGAGGAACACCAAUGGCGAAGGCAGGUCUCUGGGCCAAUACUGACACUGAGGAGCGAAAGUCUGGGGAGCGAACAGGAUUAGGUACCCUGGUAGUCCAGACCGUAAACGGUGGGCACUAGUUGUGGGAACCUUCCGACGGUUUCUGCGACGGCAGCUAACGCAUUAAGUGCCCCGCCUGGGGAUACGNUCGCAGAUUAAACNCAAUGAAUUGACG